ACGAGGCACUACGGUGCUGAAGCAACAAAUGCCCUGCUUCCAGGAAAAGCCUCUAAGCAUCAGGUAACAUCAAAUCGUACCCCAAACCGACACAGGUGGUCAGGUAGAGAAUACCAAGGCGCUUGAGAGAACUCGGGUGAAGGAACUAGGCAAAAUGGUGCCGUAACUUCGGGAGAAGGCACGCUGACAUGUAGGUGAAGUGAUUUACUCACGGAGCUGAAGUCAGUCGAAGAUACCAGCUGGCUGCAACUGUUUAUUAAAAACACAGCACUGUGCAAACACGAAAGUGGACGUAUACGGUGUGACGCCUGCCCGGUGCCGGAAGGUUAAUUGAUGGGGUCAGCGCAAGCGAAGCUCCUGAUCGAAGCCCCGGUAAACGGCGGCCGUAACUAUAACGGUCCUAAGGUAGCGAAAUUCCUUGUCGGGUAAGUUCCGACCUGCACGAAUGGCGUAAUGAUGGCCAGGCUGUCUCCACCCGAGACUCAGUGAAAUUGAACUCGCUGUGAAGAUGCAGUGUACCCGCGGCAAGACGGAAAGACCCCGUGAACCUUUACUAUAGCUUGACACUGAACAUUGAGCCUUGAUGUGUAGGAUAGGUGGGAGGCUUUGAAGUGUGGACGCCAGUCUGCAUGGAGCCGACCUUGAAAUACCACCCUUUAAUGUUUGAUGUUCUAACGUGGACCCGUUACCCGGGUUGCGGACAGUGUCUGGUGGGUAGUUUGACUGGGGCGGUCUCCUCCUAAAGAGUAACGGAGGAGCACGAAGGUUGGCUAAUCCUGGUCGGACAUCAGGAGGUUAGUGCAAUGGCAUAAGCCAGCUUGACUGCGAGCGUGACGGCGCGAGCAGGUGCGAAAGCAGGUCAUAGUGAUCCGGUGGUUCUGAAUGGAAGGGCCAUCGCUCAACGGAUAAAAGGUACUCCGGGGAUAACAGGCUGAUACCGCCCAAGAGUUCAUAUCGACGGCGGUGUUUGGCACCUCGAUGUCGGCUCAUCACAUCCUGGGGCUGAAGUAGGUCCCAAGGGUAUGGCUGUUCGCCAUUUAAAGUGGUACGCGAGCUGGGUUUAGAACGUCGUGAGACAGUUCGGUCCCUAUCUGCCGUGGGCGCUGGAGAACUGAGGGGGGCUGCUCCUAGUACGAGAGGACCGGAGUGGACGCAUCACUGGUGUUCGGGUUGUCAUGCCAAUGGCACUGCCCGGUAGCUAAAUGCGGAAGAGAUAAGUGCUGAAAGCAUCUAAGCACGAAACUUGCCCCGAGAUGAGUUCUCCCUGAGACUUUAAGUCUCCUGAAGGAACGUUGAAGACGACGACGUUGAUAGGCCGGGUGUGUAAGCGCAGCGAUGCGUUGAGCUAACCGGUACUAAUGAACCGUGAGGCUUAACC
rnacentral:rRNA from 1 species